rnacentral:lncRNA from 1 species
GGGGAGAUUAAGGUGGGGGGUAUAAAGGUGAUAUUUACCCCUCUUGUCCAUCAGCCCCAUGAAGAGGAAGCAGGGCAGGAAGGGGUAUUGUGUAUUAAGGGGCAGGGUAUUAAGGAGGGGAGGGGGGUAUUAAGGAGAUAUUUACCCCUCUUGUCCAUCAGCCCCAUGAAGAGGAAGCAGGGCAGGAAGGGGUAUUGUGUAUUAAGGGGCAGGGUAUUAAUGUGGGGGGACAGGGUAUUAAGGUGGGGGGCAGGGUAUUAAGGGGGGGAGGGGGGUAUUAAGGAGAUAUUUACCCCUCUUGUCCAUCAGCCCCAUGAAGAGGAAGCAGGGCAGGAAGGGCUAUUGUGUAUUAAGGGGCAGGGUAUUAAGGAGAUAUUUACCCCUCUUGUCCAUCAGCCCCAUGAAGAGGAAGCAGGGCAGGAAGGGGUAUUGUGUAUUAAGGGGCAGGGUAUUAAGGAGGGGAGGGGGGUAUUAAGGAGAUAUUUACCCCUCUUGUCCAUCAGCCCCAUGAAGAGGAAGCAGGGCAGGAAGGGCUAUUGUGUAUUAAGGGGCAGGGUAUUAAGGAGGGGGGCAGGGUAUUAAGGUGGGGGUAUUAAGGUGGGGGGUAUUCAGGUGAUAUUUACCCCUCUUGUCCAUCAGCCCCAUGAAGAGGAAGCAGGGCAGGAAGCCGAUGGGGCCCCACAGGACCAGCAGGGCGAUGUCCAGGCUGGAGAAGCCAUAGGCGGCCCGGGCCGAGUUCUGGAUGGGCCCCCACGUGUUAAACAGCAGCCCCUGCAGGAAGGCGAGCAGCGAGAACAGCGACAGCACCAGCCAGCGCCGCCCGAACACCCGGGGCCCGCGGGGGCCGGGGGGGGACAGCAGGGCCUGCCGCUCCUCCUCCUCCUCCCCGGGGCCGCUCCACUGCAAGCCCAUCCGGGACCGGAACCAGAACCGGGACCGACACCGGAACCAGAACCGAGACCGGGAACCAGAACCGGGAACCAGAACCGGGACCGAGACCAGAACCGACACCGGGACCGGGACCAGAACCGACACCGGGACCGACACAGGGACCAGAACCAGAACCGGGGGGUGGGGGAGAUACGGACCGGGAACAGAACCGAGACCGGCUGCUCCCUGUGUGAGUGUCCCCCGGGGGCCCCGCUCCGGCCGGUCUCUCACAGGAGAAGUUCGGGUUUUUCCGGUCACGAGCUCAAA